rnacentral:tRNA from 1 species
GCCUUCGUGGUGUAGUGAUCAAAGCACGGGCGUAUUCCAGAGGUCCGUGGUUCGAGUCCCGGCGAAGGUG